GUGGGGAAUUUUGGACAAUGGGCGCAAGCCUGAUCCAGCAAUGCCGCGUGCAGGAAGAUGGCCUUCGGGUUGUAAACUGCUUUUGUACGGAACGAAACGGUCCUGGUUAAUACCCGGGGCUAAUGACGGUACCGUAAGAAUAAGCACCGGCUAACUACGUGCCAGCAGCCGCGGUAAUACGUAGGGUGCAAGCGUUAAUCGGAAUUACUGGGCGUAAAGCGUGCGCAGGCGGUGCUGUAAGACAGGCGUGAAAUCCCCGGGCUUAACCUGGGAAUUGCGCUUGUGACUGCAGUGCUGGAGUGCGGCAGAGGGGGAUGGAAUUCCGCGUGUAGCAGUGAAAUGCGUAGAUAUGCGGAGGAACACCGAUGGCGAAGGCAAUCCCCUGGGCCUGCACUGACGCUCAUGCACGAAAGCGUGGGGAGCAAACAGGAUUAGAAACCCGAGUAGUCC
rnacentral:rRNA from 1 species